rnacentral:misc_RNA from 1 species
AAAUAAUUAUAUAGAUAGUACAAAGCUAGAAUCUAGAAUACUAAAUAUAGAUAUAUAGUAAAAAAAACUAACCUUGCUACCACAAAAGAACAGCACAUAAUAAAAAUAAAUUGUAUAAAAUUGCAAAUAAAUCACAUCUUUUAGUCUUUUUUCAAGAAUUAGCUUUGGAGAAUAGAGUAAUCUACUAAUUUUCACUAAGAUUCUUAGAAAAGAUAUUGUAUGAAGAAAGGAGGAAACUUUGAGUAAAAAUUUGAGGGAAAUUGAAGCCAAACAGUAGCUAUUGAUGCGUUGCAUGCAAAGACAAGAAAAAUGGCACCAAAACAUAGUGAAAAAAUGGUAGAGAAAUCUUCAAGGUAAUGGUUGUUACCAUAACGAUCGGUAACUGUUGUUACCGUUAUGACCGUUACACCUGUAAGUACCUAUUUGCCUGUAAAUAACGGCCUCAUGCGUAGCGGUCCCCCUCAAAACUUGUAAAUAACGGCCAUUAAGGCCAUUAAUUAUGUAUUGUCCGUUAUUUGAAACCAUUCCCUCAAUAUAGGCAGCUCCUUCAAUUCGGCUUUUAAUACUCGUAGCAUUCAGUUGCUUCUCACUUCUAAAAUUCUCCCCAUGCAAGCAAUGGUAUGUACCAUCCAAUUGAAAAGUCAUUGUCAAAUUAGCAAAAUUCCAAUUAAUAUUACGGAAUCUUCAACCAUUGAAUUCUCAAAUUAAAUCGUAACUCUCAAGUGGCAAUACAUAGAUAGCAGUUUGGAAAUUUUGCUUUUGCAUUUACCAUUGAAACCCUUUGCACAACUUCACACCUCAAUUCUUGACUAUUGGCGACUUCCACCCAAAUUUCUGAAACUUUGCUCACUGGGCAAUGAAGUGUCGAAACUAAUUGUUCCUUCAAGAAGCUAUGCUUGCUGACUGUAUCAAUUAGAAUGUACAACCUUUUCUUUCCACAAUUCACUCUUAACAUUGUAUUCUGAUUACUACCCAUACCCCACAUAGUGUGAAGAGACAAUUGACCUUCUUGUAUUACAUCUUCUAAGUUCUAACAUAGCACUUUCCUCCACCAUUGUCUCUAGUUCUUCCUCAUCUAUCACUUCUUUCAGCUGUAACACAUACAAUUGUCGUUUCUUACAUGGAUGACCAGGCACAAAUUCUCAUUAGACCAAAAACACAAGUUCUUUGAUAUUUUUUCAUCGAUAUCUUUGCUAGUCAGUGUGGGAGGCAAUCUUGCAGGUAAUCAGGGAGUGGUUUUUUUGGUGAUUCUUUCACAUUUGGUUUGUUUAUUUGGAUAGGUUGAUGUGGUUAGGGUUAAGGGUUUAUUGUAAGUGAAAUUACUAAAAGAGCUAUAUGUGGGUUUGGGUAAGGUUCUUGGUUUUGUUGAAUAGCGGCCAUAGUCAAUUAUUGAAGUUUGCUAAGGAAUAGGCAUUACAUAAAGUUUUGGGUCUGAACAUCCUAAUAAGCAUUUGUAGUAACUCAUCAGAAAGGCUAGUUAAAAAAAAAAAAAAAAACUCAAAAUCCAUUAUAUAAAAACAAAGAAAUAACAAGUAAAACAGGAACUAAAUACCGUACAGAAAGAUUAUAAACCAAUACUUAAAAGGAAGCAAACUUUCUAAAUACAAAAAUACAAUGAGAAAACCUAAAUAGAAAUUUUAAAGAUUAAGAACUAAAUCAAAAUAAUCCAAAAUUUAAUCUUCCCUGACUGCAUCACAAAUAUUAUAAACUAUAUGAGUGAAUAAGAAAACAGGAUCUACAUGAUGCAAAAUGCAGGACUCCCAUGUCCAUUGGAGUUCCAUUAACCAAAGGAACAAAUAACAUGAAAAACUCCAUCAUAACUAUAGCCAUGACAUAAGAACCUAUCUUUAAAAUGACUAAACAAAUUGUAGCAUCCAAAAGAAAUCAAAUUUCUCUCUAUCAAAAAACCUUCAUACAGACCUAGAAAACAUGUUUUAAACAAAUUUAAUAUCUUAUUGUGAUAAUAAACCAAAAUUUAACUAUUAUACAAUUAGAAACUACACAAUAACCACUGCAAUGCCUUUAUUACCAUAUUACCUACAGUCACAUACAUGAAUAAUAAGAAAUGUAAACACAAGAUAUAUAAUUAACUUCAAGCUGUAACAUACACAGAUAAUCCCUUUCAAACAGAUACAAGCCCUUUGUAAACAAAAUGAAGCAUCCGCCCACAUAACCCAUUAUCCACAACAUCAAAUAAAUCAAUAGAAAAACUACAAAAACACGACAAAUUUUCUGCCUGUGUAAUAUUCAAAAGCCCAAAGGAAAUGAAAUGAAGUCACCAAUCUGACAUGCCCAACAUAUAGUCCUUGUUAUUCUACUACAUCUAGUCCAAGCACACUACCAUAAACUAGUUCAAAAAUACACAAAAAGAAAGAAGGAAGAGAGAGAGAUGGGCGUUAAAAAUGUAACUCAAUCUCGGUCUACUAAACCAAAACAAAAACAUUAAAUAGAAAUAAUCUAAAAAGUUAAAACUUAAAGCGCAACCAAAUCAAUCAUGAACUAGUAGCAAACUCGGAGAGUGAACAUUCGCAUUCUCAGUUACAAGGCCUCCAUUGGCGGUACUACCACCAGCUGGCUCAUCAUUCACUUGUUCUUUCACCAACUUACUUGAUUCCACUCUCUUUGCAUUUUCAAUACUAUUAUUUUCAUUCUUAUCAAUAUCAUCCUCUUCUUUUACUUUAUCCUCAAAUCUCCUCCUCUCUCUCCUCUCCUUUGAAACCCUAGCCCUCUUUUCCUUCUCAACAACUCUAUCCUCGCUAUCGCCUCUUUCUUUCCUCUUCCUUCUAACUUCAUACUCCAAGUCCACAAUUUCAUAAGACAACUCUCACUUCGUUUCCCUUUGGCGUCCAUCACUGCUCCCUUCUCUCUCCUCUCUCAGAUUGUAGGACCCCUCGCGAGAGCACUCACGGCCCUCGUGCGUCGACGAGGAUUUGUAAUCGCUUCGUGGCUCAUGAUCGCUCGCGCCGAU